rnacentral:pre_miRNA from 1 species
AAAGUUACCUUAAAUGGAAGCAUACAUUUUUUGCUGAAAGAAUAAGUGCUUCUCUUUGGGGUAGCCAUA